rnacentral:rRNA from 1 species
UCCGUUGGUGAACCAGCGGAAGGAUCAUUACCGAGUUGAUUCGGGCUCCGUCCCGAUCCUCCCACCCUUUGUAUACCUACCUCUGUUGCUUUGGCGGGCCGCGGUCUUCCGCGGCCGCCCCCCGAUUUUGGGGGGUGGCUAGUGCCCGCCAGAGGACUAUCAAACUCCAGUCAGUAAACGUUGCAGUCUGAAAAAAAUAUUAAAUAAACUAAAACUUUCAACAACGGAUCUCUUGGUUCUGGCAUCGAUGAAGAACGCAGCGAAAUGCGAUAAGUAAUGUGAAUUGCAGAAUUCAGUGAAUCAUCGAAUCUUUGAACGCACAUUGCGCCCCUUGGUAUUCCGGGGGGCAUGCCUGUUCGAGCGUCAUUUCAACCCUCCAGCUCUGCUUGGUAUUGGGCACCGUCCUUUGCGGGCGCGCCUCAAAGACCUCGGCGGUGGCGUCUUGCCUCAAGCGUAGUAGAAUACACCUCGCUUCGGAGCGUAAGGCGUCGCCCGCCGGACGAACCUUCUGAACUUUUCUCAAGGUUGACCUCGGAUCAGGUAGGGAUACCCGCUGAACUUAAGCAUAUCAAUAAGCGGAGGA